rnacentral:tRNA from 1 species
GAGGUUAUAGCUCAAUGGUGGAGUAUAUGCUUAGCAUGCACAACGUCCUGGGUUCAAUCCCCAGUACCUCCA